rnacentral:lncRNA from 1 species
GAGGAGGAUGUCUGAGGUGGACGAGGAGUCGAAACAGUCUCGCAGAAGCAAUCACACCCUCCAUACUUAAGUGCACAAAGAUCCAAUCAUCCGUGCGCAUUGUUCAAGAUAUAUGGAUCUGAUGACCACUCAUUGGCAAUAAGAAACAUGUCGGGAUAUUAUAUGGAGAAGGGCAGCGAAGCGGUAUGGGGUUUUCCUAUGAACUGAAAGCAGAGCUUUCUUGCAAUGGUGGGCACAUGAAAUAUCGACAGAGCAUUAACUUUGCAGCACCGACAAAGCAUCAACGGCAUCAACUUUGCUUGUUAGACAUUAUCCCACUAUCUGCCAGCCCACAAUACCACUCUCCAAACCACAGAAGAUAAGUCUUCUUUUAUUACAAGAUGUUGGCCACAUUUUCUUAAAGCAAGAUAGUUUUAAUAAUUUUUAUUAUUAUACUUAUUCAUCAAAUAUUAGUGUGGAAAUGGGAAGAGGAAAAGGAAAGAGGGCAGCACUGUUAGAAAAGUGGAAGUGUGAUGAUGGGUCGUCUGUGAUGUAUCUUUAAAAGCACAAAGAGAGUGGACAUCACAAAAGAAGAGAAAGUGGAGAAAGCGAGGAUAUGCAUGCAUACGCGGGCACCGCAUACAUUAUUUUUAUUUUUUGCUAGUAUAUGUACUGUUAUCACCAUCUGUAUCUCCGAUAUCAUACCCAGUCAAAAA